rnacentral:lncRNA from 1 species
UCUAAUGGAAAUGACUUCGUUCAGCUGGUGAACAUUUUGGAAGAUUCCAGAAAAACAUGAACAAGUGUUUGAGUGCUCUUAAGGGGAUUGUCUAAUAUCUUGGCUCCUGACUCAUCCUUAGAAGUCUUCCAGCCACCUUGUACCCAUUUCAAGCCCAAGGGCUCUUUAACGUAAAUGAGUUACUGAGCAGAGUGUUGCUGGAGACGGCCACUGGAGAGGCUGAGUCAAAUCAAUCUCCUCACCUGAGGACUUCCUAAGACCAGCACACUGAAGGACCAGCAGCAACAACAAUAAUGCUAAUGCUCCCUUAUGGACAAGACUGCAAUUCUCUGCCUGCUGAAGCUCAGCUAUGACCACGUGACUUGCCUUGGCCAAUGAAAGAGGAAGAGUAUGUAACACUGCUGAACGGAAGCAAGUGGCCCCUGCCCCUGCUGCAGAAAUUCUAGACAUGUGUGCCAUGCUGGAGCAAGGAGACAGGGAGUCCUGGAGAAAGGAGACAUGGAACAGAGCUCCCAGCCCAGUCAAUAUGUAACAUGAGUGAGAAAUAAAUAACA